rnacentral:rRNA from 1 species
GUCUACGGCCAUACCACCCUGAACGCGCCCGAUCUCGUCUGAUCUCGGAAGCUAAGCAGGGUUAGGCCUGGUUAGUACUUGGAUGGGAGAAUAUUGAGAACAGGGAGGAAAUGGACA